GGUAGAAUGGCCGAGUCAACAGGCGAUAAAUUGUAAAUUUAUUUACGAAUCAAAUUCUUCUAUCA
rnacentral:tRNA from 1 species